rnacentral:lncRNA from 1 species
GUAAUUUAAAAACAAUCUUAAACCCACUUAAGUGUUCAUUCACCACAGAUGUAUAACAGGGAUCAACUAUAUAAGAGUGAGAAGUUGGAGGCAAAUUUGCUUUUGACACACCCGGGGAAACAAAAGAGAGAGAGGCUGCCUGUAACAAGUUGUUCUGCGUGCAGCUGGCUGAGGAGACCACUUUCACUUUUGAAAGCAUUAAGUUUGCUCAGGAUGACAAUUUUUCUUCCUUCUUAAAAUGCAAACCAGGAUGCUAGCCUACAACUUCCUUUCUAGCUAUAUUGUUAAUAAAGCCCAAAAGGCUUUGAAAAGAACCAAACUUUUUCUUUUUUUUUUUCAAUGCAGAAGACCCUGAUUCUGAUACGGAAACAUGAGACACAUGCUUUUAGAAAAAUCAGAGGUCUGUCAUUUCUUGAAUAUAAGCAAAUGAUACACCACACAAAGCCUUCUAUAUGCCGGGCAACUUUAACACUUGUGAUGUUCAAAGCUAUGUUUUACUCUUGAGAAAGCCCACCACAAUCAGAUUAGAAAGCUGUAAAUUAAGUGAGGGUUCGGGGUGGCUGGAGGGAAAAUGAGGAUUAGACCAUUUGGAUCCUGCAAAGAGGGAAACACACAGUAGGUAAAGAGUCCGUACUUCCUUAGAACCCUGGCCAUCUAACGAUGAGAUUCUUACUCUGGGAAAAGUACAAAAGAGCCAGGAACCUCCACAAGGCUACCUACAAAAAGCAGCAACCAUCAAACACAAGCAACUGAGUUCAGUUGCAACAGAGACCCUCCUUACUCCAGGGCAGAUUCACCUGGGGGAGCACCUGAACAGCCUAGCAGCCCCCUCUCUGCCUCGCACCCCAGGAGACCUUCGCUUUUCUCCUCCAGGGCUGGCUCUCCCUGUCAACGGCUUUCCACAUUUCCCCCUUCCUUUGGAACAACCAAAACCCACCAGAUAGAAUACGAUUGUAUUUAUUUACCAUCGAAUUGAAGUUUGGAAAGGAAAAAAGGUAUUAAUCUGUAUUACCCACUUCCUGCUCUCAACUUUUCCCCAAACCGAUCAGUUUUUGCCUUCCAGCCUCCUACCCACACCCAGCGCUCCCACUCUCCUCCUCUCCCCAUCUCGUUCUCACAGUCUCUCUCUCACACACACACACCCCCCCCACCACUUGGUCCAAUCUGGUACCUGCCUAACAACAACAGUAUGACAAGCAACAUCUGUUUGUAAAAAAAAAAAAAGCCAAAGUCAAACCUUAACGUUUUCUGGCUAGGUUUCUUUUUUCCUUUUGUCCCUGACUCUAAAAGGGGAGGGGGCAAAAAGAAAUAUUAAGAUUUGUAUUCAAUGUCGGCUCCAACGAGGCAGCCACCGUACUCCCCUAGAGUUAUUUCAAGGUAAAGCAAUUUUAGGGAAAACCGCUGCAGUAUUUAUGGCUGUCUCCCCUGAAGCAAGCCCAGUCACAUAAAUCCAACAGAUCAGAUUCCCAGAAGUCAGGUUUUUUUCCUAACAGCUUUAUAUCCAUCUUCUAAUUAGAAUGAUAGGAUCGUGCAUGCAUGUGUGUGUGUGUGUGUUGGGGUGAUGAAAGAGAGAGAGAAGAGCAAGACAGAAAAAGAAACGGUCCAGUCUCCCCUCAUUUACAGCACACGGGCAUAUAAACAGGCACAUUUACACGGCUGCCACGCACGAGAGCAGGCACGGCGAGCAGGAGGCUGCGGCAGAAAUCCGCACAGCUGUGGCCAUCGGAAACAGGCCCCACCGUUCCCCCACUGAGACGUGAAUUUCUGGAAAGCUACCAACCAUCCACAGAGUCACAAUGCGAAGGAUCAAGCUACCUAGACGGGGAGGGGGAGGGGUGGGAAGAAGCUGGUGAGGAAGAGAAAGGCUCCCUCACCCACUAAACGGCGUCGCCCUCAGGGAGGAGAAACCGUUUCACUCAGGGUUUGGAAGAAACCCAUACACAUUAAGGGAAAAAUAAAUUCAGACAAGUUGCUAAGGAGACUUGUGUAAACUCCAAGCGCAGGCAUAUUUCUUGGCCUUUCCCCCUGGGCUCCAUCUUGCAUUCUGAUCACGCUGCUCUGCGGCAACGUUGCACCAACCUUCUGCAUUCAUCUUGGCCUUCCCCGUGCAGACUGGCAAAGCACGCUGGUUGUAUAUAUCAUCAUCGUUCAUACUUAACAAGUUAAAAGGGUGUGUGUGUGUGUGUGUGUGUGUGUGUGUGUGUGUGUGUGUGUGACUAGUUGGAGGGAGAGAGUGGUGGGGAAAGAGGCAGGGAAAGCAUCUAGCGCUGGAAAUUUCCCUCUGCCUGUGGAGUCCGUCCUUUCACCACUCUGCCAGCCUCCCCCUCCCACCUCUCAUCUCCAGUUAAAACCCUCUAUCUCCUGGCAUCACUGCAGAUGCCAAUGGAGGGACCCUGACUUCUGCAGAAAAGGGUGCCUCCCACAGGGUGGAACCCUGCCCCCGCUUCCUGCUCAGGAGGGUGUCCCAGAGAGAUGAGCUUUUUGAAAACUACCUGCAACGCUUCACAAAACCUCUACAUCAGACCUGUUUAGAUCCUAAACCAGCUAGCUUUUCCGAGGACAGACUCCGGCGUGGCGUUCUUCUCCCACAGCGACACACCUUCAGCGGCAGCUGAUGCAUGUCAACAUUUGAUUUAGGGGAAAAUUAACAUUUUCUUUCAGGACGGAGAUGUUUGUACUGUAGGAACCAAUAUUUUCCUUUCUCAGCCUCCUGUAUGAGAAUUUCUAAAAUCUUCCCUAGGACACAGAAGGGAUAGACAAUCCAGUAGCCUAAAUCACUGUUCAGGGUGCUGGGACAAACCAAAGUCAGGCUUCCGUGUGCGUGUGCGUGUGUGAGUGUGUGCAUGCACGCGCGCGUGCCCCUGCCUGUCUCGGGCAGGUUAGGAGGACACAGACCAGACAGCUGGAGGGGAAGUGUCUGCUCGGUCCCUUCUCAUAUUUAAGACGCUCACAGCAUCUGCCCACCAGCCACUACAGAACAGCCAGCCAACCAGGCCUGCUACUGUUGUCACAGUUUUCAGGGGUGGGGGUGGGAUGAGGGAUGGGUAAGGGGACAGGAAAAGUUUCGACGUUCAGUAGCGCUGAGUGUGUUUCUUCGUGCUCCGAGACGGUUACGCAGCUCCCAUCUCUUCCCUCUGCCAACCGGUAUUUGGUUUUCACACUUCAAAGCUAAAGCAAGCUGUGCUGCCUCAGUUGAAACCAGGCAGCCGGGCAACCCUGAAGCUAGCAAGACGGAGGCCUGCUCCUGCCAUUCGCGGAGAAAGACUGAGCCCUGCACCAGCCCCGCUGGCCCAUCCUUAACCAACAAUUCCACGUGAGCGAGCCCUAGACUUUAGGGAAGAGGAGACCACUGGCGUUCUUUGUGACCUUUCCCCUACAAGGCAUGUCCUCAGAUGUUUUGUGUCGCUGAGCCAUCAUGACUCAAUCAAAAUGAAAAAUGAACCUUGAGGGAGAGGAGCAGGGUGGGCCACUGGGCCACUGCCCUGUGACCUGCUUGGCUUGCAGCAGGGGACUGACACCUGCAUGUUCUCACUUGUCCAGGAAGCUGCAGUAGCUCCAACCCCAGCAAAUCCUGCCUCAUCGCCUGCUGGCUAUUUGUUCUGCCUGCUGGAAAGAGGAGGACCAGACCGUCUCUCCCUAAUGUGAAGACAUACUUGCUAGCUCGCGGCAUGAUCUUGUAUCAUCAAAGAGGGGAAGAACUUAAUUCACAAGGUCAGUACAACACCUAGUCCUGCAAUGGAGGAUUCUCUUCCAUUUAAUCUGCCCCUCCCCAAGUGCUUUCCUAAGCUUGCGUACGACUUUCUCAAAUACCCCAAAGAACUGAAAACAGAUUAGAUACCUCCUGCCCUCCCCCUCCAGCCCCGCAAGUCCUCUGUGGACAAAGGACAGAUAGCAGUGAACAAAGGGUCCACACAGCCGGCUAGUCUGGAUAACAAACUGCACGAGGUGCAUAAAAAGUUAAUUCAGAUAAUUUUCAUGUAAGAAAUAUGGACUUUCACAUCAUAUUGGGAAAUCUUUAAGGCUUUUGUUCUUUGAGAUGCAGAAAGAAAAACAGCCAACUUAACAGUGGCUGGCAAACUAUACUGCUGCCCAGAUGCAUCUCAAAGCAUGCAGUAAUACUACUUCUUUUUAAAUAUGGGUAUAGGUACAUAUUUGUGUGUACACAGAGAGAGACAGAGAAAUACACACACUUGCUAUCCAAAUCCCUCACUUCUAGCCUUAAGGUCAAAGACCACAUCUUUCUCCACAUUUUGUAAACUGACCUUCUCUUAUUCCACCUUGAAAUUCAGUCUUACGUCCUCUCCACCUUUUACGAGGUAAUGCUUUAGACUGCAAAAUGCUUUACACGUAAGUAUGUCUAGUUGCUAUUAUUACUCCAUAUCAUGGCAGAGAGAUGACACAGAGGAGAGUUAAGUGUCUUUCCAAAGCUCAUAUAUUUUUGUAAUAACAGCAACAAAAUUAAAGUUCCCCUUCCUGCCCCAGUUGAACUGGUGAGAGGGUCCUAGGUCAGGCUGAAGGAAUUUCAUGGCACCCCUUCUCUCGUUUUGCUUUAUUUGUUAGUCAGGCAUUUUCUUUCACCUAUAAUCCCAAGAUACAGGAAACCCUGGCCCCACAUGCUCUAGCAGCUGCCAACCUGGGUAACCCCAAAGACUAGGCCACCAGACACUCAUGUUGGAGGCUGAAGUCAGAGGUCAAUUAAGGCUGAGAAAGGUCUCCAAUAGUGUGUUCUAGUCCAGCCAGUCCAACGGGCUUUAUGAACAUCAGGAGGUCAUCACUGCCAUGGGAAAAGGGGGUUGAUGAGCAAACGUAUACUUAGUAUUUGCCAUUCCUCACUGACCCCAAACUCCUCCUGUAUCAGCACUUCUUUGCCUUCCUCAUGACAAUGGGAAGAGCUAUUCAGUGGCCCUGUAAUCCUGAUCAGGAGCGACAGAUGACAGGUCACAGGCUCCUGAUUCUUCCAAACGGUUUCAGUCUAUCUAGACCCAGACUAAAGUCCAUCUAUCCGCUGUCCGGUGGAAUUGUUACUGGUUGCUGAAUUUGUAUUUGUUUUCACACAUGGGCGUGACUGAGGAGAUGAUGAUUUCAAGAUCAGAAGAGAGGGCAUCAAAUGCACAGUAUCCUGUGAAAAAUGCUGACAUAUUUUCUAUUUAUUUCCAAGGCAGGUGGUUAUUAAAGUAUAGCUGAAGAAGUCCCAGGGUCCCUCAGGGGGUACUCAAGGUGGUUAAGCUGCUAUUCUUGGGUAGGAUUCAUACCCAUAACAGAAUCACAUCUCUGUGUUUUCUUCUCAUAUGAUUUAUUUCUGAAACUUAAUAUGGACCAGACAUCACCUCACGGAUGGCUCAUAAAAGCACAAUCAUAUUUCCCAUUUCUUUUGGUGUGAUAUUUUGGGGGUGGCAGACAAGAAUGGGUGGGGUAAGUGGAAAGUUGAGACUUGAAUCCCAUCUACAUGAUUUGUAAACAGAAAAGGCAGCAAAAGCCAUAGAUCUAGUCCAAAAUUCUUCCUUGAGGUAUUUUAAUUAUACCAAGAAGAACUCAAGAUGCCACGUUUCUCUUUUUCUUUUCAGAAAUUAAUCCCCUUAUGCCAACGCUGGCUGACCGGCAGGAGGUGUCUCAAGUACAGACUGAGAAAGAUCCUGAAAUCCUGCCUGAUCUCUGUAGGAAAGAGUUUCACAAGCAUCAGGAAGUCAUCACUGCCAUGGGAAAAGGGGGUUGAUGAGGAAAUAUAUACUAAGUAUUUGCCAUUCCCGACUGACCCCAAACUCCUCGUGUAUCAGCAUUUCUUUGUCCUCCUCAGGACAAUGGGAAGAGCUAUUUGGUGGCUUCUAUGUGAUAAAGUUUUGAAUUCCUGUAAAGUAAAAUUGUUAUGAGUAUAUUAUUUCUGGACAUUCUAGCUAAUAAAAAAGGAGUUGGGGCAGAAUUUUUACCUUGUAUAUAAUAGGUCUUAUGUAUUUUACUCACAUGAUCUUUAGAGUACACGCUAAGUUACUAGAACAAGAUAGAAAAAACUAGCAAAACAAAUCCCAUCCUCUUCUCACAACCUCUUCUGAGAGAUACAGACCUGCUAGCAGGUAAGUCUCUGCUGAAGACAGGGAAAAUUAUGACAAGGAGCAGUUUCUCUGUAGCCAGGAAUGCCAAAUCCAUUUAUCCUAAUUGAGUUCUCCAUAGAAUCUACCUGAGACAAUGCUUUUCAUACCAAAGACCUCUCCCGGGGCAAGGCGACUGGUCCAUAUUGGCAUCACCAUGUCUCCUGAGAAACUUGGAAGGUUCCUGGUGUUGGGUGGGGCAAGGAGAAGAAAAUGAUGAGCUGUGGCUGCCUUCCAUCCUACCUCAUUGACGUGCUAAGCUCCCUUCUGCUGGGAGGUUUGACACCAAUGACGGGACAGGACCUAACAUCAGUACAAUUGCCUUUUCAGGACGCUCAGCCUCAGACA